rnacentral:tRNA from 17 species
CCUGGACGGUGUUGCGGACGGGCUUCAGAACCAAGUUC